GACAGAGGUGCCGAGCGUUAGGCGGAAUCACUGGGCUUAAAGCGUGUGUAGGCGGGCGGGCAAGUACCUUGUGAAAUCCCACGGCUCAACCGUGGAACGGCUGGGUAUACUGCCUGUCUUGAGUCAACUAGGGGCGAGCGGAACAGACGGUGGAGCGGUGAAAUGCGUAGAUAUCGUCUGGAACGCCAAAGGUGAAAACAGCUCGCUGGGGUUGUGCUGACGCUGGAGACACGAAAGCCAGGGGAGCGAACGGG
rnacentral:rRNA from 1 species